UACAGAGGGGGCAAGCGUUGUUCGGAAUUACUGGGCGUAAAGGGCGCGUAGGCGGCCUGCUAAGUCGAACGUGAAAUCCCCGGGCUCAACCCGGGAACUGCGUCCGAUACUGGCAGGCUUGAAUCCGGGAGAGGGAUGUGGAAUUCCAGGUGUAGCGGUGAAAUGCGUAGAUAUCUGGAGGAACACCGGUGGCGAAGGCGGCAUCCGGGACCGGCAUUGACGCUGAGGCGCGAAAGCCAGGGGAGCAAACGGG
rnacentral:rRNA from 1 species